GUGCUUGUAGUUCAGUUGGUUAGAAUGCCAGAUUGUGACUCUGGAGGUCGUGAGUUCAAGUCUCAUCAAGCACCCCA
rnacentral:tRNA from 1 species